GGCGGUAAAUAAAGCAUUUCAGCGAAUGUCAACAAUUGAUAGCAUGGGCACAGAACAUGAAGGGCACAGUCUAGGGGCAGCUGACAGUCUAAGAGGGAGAGAUGAGCAGAGGAAGCCACAUACGGAUAGCAAUGAGGAAGAUAUGAUACAAAUGGAAAGGAAAGCUUAAUAUAUAAGAGGUUGAUAUAUUUACAAUUUACGAUGUCUUGAAAUGAACAUUUUAAAGGUAAGAAGAUCAAUUAGUACAUUUUCAGUGCUGUAAACCCCCGCCCAACAUUGAGCUCCAGAAGGUGGAUCACACAGAGCAGCCCUUCACUUAGAGGCAGGAGAGAAAAGGAAAAGAAGACACAGAGAGACUGAGUGCACACAGGGCCGAUCACAGCAGAGGCAGGGCCCAGGAGUCUAGAAGCAGUGUUUACCUUAAAGACAUCUACCAAUUACUACACUAGAAUGGUAUUGGAAUCUGCAUUUAGAGUGACUGAUUCAGGAGCUUAUAUUUGAAAAUGUUAGACCACACAAGCUGAGUUUGUCAAACUGUAGCAAAGUGAAUAUAAAUUAGACACUGAUCACUGAGGAUACUCUAAGGUGGAUUAAAUGGAUCUUUAAUCAGUCAACUGUUCAGAAUAGAGUGGGUUACAUCAAAUAGAUAAAUUAGGACGGUUGAGUUCAGUGGAUAAAAGAGAAGCAGACAGCAGUAGAUGAAAUGGAGGGUGAGUUGGAUAGAGAAGGGGAGAAAUAGGCAAAGAAGAUCGAAGUGCGGGUUCAGUAAGAAUUAGAGAAAGGAAGUAAAUGCAGCAAUACUAGGGAGGCCGGGAUCCCACUAUUUGUUUAGUUAUGGAGGUAGUUUUUGAGAAAUUUCCAGCAGCAGUGAUAGAUAUUUUGAUUGAGGGCAGCAACUGUCCUUUUAUGGUUAAUACGGGGGCCAGAUACAGCCCCAUGAAUCUUUAUGUGCCCACCUGCCAAAAAACUACACAGGUAAUGGGAUUUUCAGGAGAAAAACAAAACAUACCACUUUUUCAGAACCCCUUAGAGGUGUUCUCAUAUUUGAAAAUUCACACAUGUCAUUUUUGGGGGACGCUUAGAAUUAAAAAUCAUUGGGUGUGAAAACUUAUUUUGGUGUCUAACGUGAGCAAACAAAUCUUAGGUUUCCAUAAAUGUGCACAUAUAGUUUAACAAGGAUCCUAAAAUGAGGCUGAAAAGCACUGGUGCAGAGGUCUUAAGACCGGACUGGUGAAAAGAUUAUGAUUUUUGUUUAAAUUGGGAAAAAAUCCUCUAAGAAGAUAAAUCUAAAUUGAUACUGAUGGAUUAAACAAACUUUAUGUGGCCAAUGUCUGUCUGUCUGUCCUAAAUGUGGAAUGCAUGUGAGGUAGAAUGUGUGUGGUGAAGUUGGGAAUGAUUAAGAAUAUUUUUUGAUGUGACAUUAACAUGAUUUGCAUUUUUACAGGAUUGAGAAGGAGCACUGGGGGCAUAACAGAAGGGUAAUCGUAUCAAACAUGUUGCUCAGGGGCUCCACCUAUGAGAGGCCGUGACAAGACCAGAGCAGGUUGCUGUUGUAAGGUGUGAGGUAAUUUUUGGGUGUGGAGUGCAGCUGAUAUACUGUAGAUUAAUAGAUUAUACAGUAGAUUAGAAAAAUAAUUAAAUAUAUAAGUAAAUAUCCAGACAGAAGCAGAAUGGGUGUUUUUACUUUUUGGGAAACUAAAAUCUCAGACAGGGGCAUUACAUGAUUUUAAUUUAAAGGUAGUUUCAUUUUCAAUCAUUAGAAUUGCAUUAGAGAUUGAUUAGUUUCAUUUUUCUCUCAUUCGGAUUUCAUUAGAGAUUGAUUAGGGACAGGAUAAAUCACACUUCGAGCUGGAAGUGGACACAGCAUAUGGCCAAGAUACCCGCAGGAGCUCAGCAGAUUAGCGGGGUCAACUUUUAUAAACAAGGCUGAAGAGUUAAGAACAAUUUCGGUGUGACCUGACCCUGGGUUUUUUCAGCCUUCAGUUUUUAUCUAUAAUUAUUUUUAUCUGUGUGUAAUGCCGUUUGGAAACUGCCUAGGCACGAACUGAUUAAUUUGCAUCUCUAAUCAUUACUAACACUAACACUUUUCACUGUUCAUCUGGGCCUUACCUUCUUUGCAUGACUUGUUAAAUUCUGCUAACUUUACAAAUUUCUGUGAAUGAAGUGAUUAACUAUUGACUAAUUGAUGUACUUUUUGAUUGCUUUUUCCUGGUAACAAACCAGAGGGGUCAUUUACUUUUUCCCUGCUUGUAGAGAGUGACAGUGCGGCUGUCAGUAAGCAGGCAUGAUUAUUCAGAGGCACAUUUAAGGAGGAUCAGGAGAUCGUUUUGCUUAAACAUGUUCCUUUUUUCUUUUUCAGGCUGUGUUUGUAACAAUCCUUAAAUGUUAACAUUUUUUCUUCCAGGACAGGCUGACAAAAGUCUCAUCCUUCAUUGUGUUUUGUUUAAGAUGUGCAUUAACCCUUAUUUUCCCAACAGCUGCAGAAGUUCUGGCAUGUGAAAUGGACAAC